rnacentral:tRNA from 1 species
GGGGAUUUAGCUCAGCGGUAGAGCGCUUGCCUAGCAAGCAUAAGGCCCUGGGUUCAGUCCCCAGCUCCG